rnacentral:rRNA from 1 species
CCCUUAGAUGUUCUGGGCUGCACGCGCGCUACACUGAUGCGCUCAACGAGUUUAUGACCUUGCCCGGAAGGGUUGGGUAAUCUUUUCAAAACGCAUCGUGAUGGGGAUAGAUUAUUGCAAUUAUUAAUCUUCAACGAGGAAUGCCUAGUAAGCGUGAUUCAUCAAAUCGCGUUGAUUACGUCCCUGCCCUUUGUACACACCGCCCGUCGCUCCUACCGAUUGAAUGUGUUGGUGAGGAGCUCGGAUUGGCAGCAGUUGGUGGUUCGCCACCGGCUAUUGCUGAGAAGUCCUCCAAACCGCCCCAUUUAGAGGAAGGAGAAGUCGUAACA